rnacentral:rRNA from 1 species
UACCAGCUCUCCGAGUGGUAGGGAUGAUUAUUGGGCUUAAAGCGUCCGUAGCCGGCUUAGCAAGUUUCCUGUUAAAUUCAGCGACCUAAUCGUUGAGCCGCGGGAAAUACUACUAGGCUAGGAGGCGGGAGAGGUCGACGGUACUUCUGGGGUAGGGGUGAAAUCCUAUAAUCCCGGGAGGACCACCAGUGGCGAAGGCUGUCGACUAGAACGCGCUCGACGGUGAGGGACGAAAGCUGGGGGAGCGAACCGGAUUAGAUACCCGGGUAGUCCCAGCUGUAAACGAUGCGGGCUAGGUGUUGGGGUGGCUACGUGCCACUUCAGUGCCGCAGGGAAGCCAUUAAGCCCGCCGCCUGGGGAGUACGGCCGCAAGGCUGAAACUUAAAGGAAUUGGCGGGGGAGCACCACAAGGCGUGAAGCUUGCGGUUCA